rnacentral:lncRNA from 1 species
AAGAGAGUGAAGUGCACAAAGUGCUUAGAUGAGGAGGGGUGCAUAGUAGAUUCUCAGUAAUUUGUCUUCUAUCAUCUCCAUCCUUACCACUACCCUAGGUAGCAGAGGUCAUUGUAACAGUCAGUUUACAAAUGUGGAAACCAAGACACGCCAAAGUUAAACACUUCCAUGUCCACACAGAGUUUACAGGCUCAAAGGCAACAAGGCCAAGUGACCAUGGACUGAUACUUCUGAAACUGUCAUAUGUGGAGGUUCUAAUCCCCACUGGGAUGGUGUUUGGAGAUGAUUAGGAUUAGAAGAAGGCCUGGUGAGGAUACUAGUAAGAAGAGACAUGAGAGACUUGCUCUCUCUCUGCCACAUAUGGACAUGGCAAGAAAGUGCUAGCUGCAAGCCAGGAAGAGAACACCCACCAAACCGGACCAUGCUGGCAUCCUAACCUCAUUCUUCCAGCC